rnacentral:rRNA from 1 species
GCUAACUCCGUGCCAGCAGCCGCGGUAAUACGGAGGGGGUUAGCGUUGUUCGGAAUUACUGGGCGUAAAGCGCACGCAGGCGGUUUGUUAAGCUAGAUGUGAAAGCCCCGAGCUCAACUUGGGAUGGUCAUUUAGAACUGGCAGACUAGAGUCUUGGAGAGGGGAGUGGAAUUUCUGGUGUAGCGGUGAAAUGCGUAGAUAUCUGGAGGAACAUCAGUGGCGAAGGCGACUCCCUGGCCAAAGACUGACGCUCAUGUGCGAAAGUGUGGGUAGCGAACAGGAUUAGAUACCCUGGUAGUCCACACCGUAAACGCUGUCUACUAGCUGUUUGUGGAUUUAAUCCGUGAGUAGCGAAGCUAACGCGAUAAGUAGACCGCCUGGGGAGUACGGCCGCAAGGUUAAAACUCAAAUGAAUUGACGGGGGCCCGCACAAGCGGUGGAGCAUGUGGUUUAAUUUGAUACAACGCGAAGAACCUUACCAGGGUUUGACAU